rnacentral:rRNA from 1 species
UACGUAGGAUCCGAGCGUUGUCCGGAAUUACUGGGUGUAAAGGGUCUGCAGGCGGGAAGAUAAGUCGGUGGUGAAAUCCCAUAGCUCAACUAUGGAACCGCCUCCGAUACUAUCUUUCUUGAGUUCGAGAGAGGAUAAUGGAAUUCAUGGUGUAGCGGUGAAAUGCGUAGAUAUCAUGAAGAACACCAGUUGCGAAGGCGAUCAUCUGGCUCGAUACUGACGCUCAGGGACGAAAGCAUGGGGAUCAAACAGGAUUAGAUACCCGAGUAGU